rnacentral:tRNA from 1 species
GCCCUUGUAGCUCAGCGGUAGAGCAGCGGUUUUGUAAACCGAAGGUCGGGAGUUCAAUCCUCUCCGGGGGCA